rnacentral:lncRNA from 1 species
UUGGAUCAUCUGCUUCACAGAAUGCCGAGUACCAGUUUCACUCCCCGGUGGAUAGCGACAGUGGAUCCCAAAGCCUACGUACCGGCUCGUCCUGCAGCACUUCGUACGAGUCUGCCGUGGAGGAGGAGUACGAAGACGAUAGAAAGAGCAAGAAGCCUGGCUGCAAGGACAGCUGGACCCAGACGCCCUCGCGGCCUCGUUGCCAGUCACGAGGCGUACAGGUGGUACAGCCGACAUGCGACGCUGAGUCUCAGACUGAAGGAUGGGACCCUGACCAGAUAACCGAGCUGGAGCUACUGCUGAGGAAACGAGACGCCGAAAUUUUUGAACUCCAAGAGAGGCUGGCAUCUAUUCAGGAAGAGCAUGCCCGCGAGAUACAGGAGCUUCAUCUCAAGUUUGAGAUGCGGCAGAACGAGUCACUAGUACCAGCAUUACAGGAUGAGGUUA